UCAACAAGAUAUUUCAAUUUUCUAAUCAACCAAAUAUAUAUAUGAUGAAUUAACCACUCUGAAGAAGCUAACAUUGCACCUUGAUAUAGUUGUCUGAGUCUACGGUGAAGCGAUGAUAUAUUCCAGCAGGUAAGACUAUCAUACCUCCCUUCUUUACCCAUACUCUAAUCCAAGCUUCAUUGCGAUCCCUCACAUCAAAGUAACCUUUUCCCAAGAAAAUGAAACGUUGAGAAUAUAGAUACCGACUUAAAUCAAGUAAAGCAGCCAAUAAAAGUACUUACCGCUUCCUGCAACGCAGUAACGGAUCUCUUCAUCAGUGUGCAAAUGUUCUUCGAAAAAGCUCUUCACUUUCACUUCAUAGUUUGGAAGCUUUUCCGGGCAUACCUCACAAAAGUCCUGCAUUUUGAACACUUUUCCAUCAUCAAACCAAGACUCAAGCACAUAAAACAAUUUGCAAAUCAUCAACGAAUUUUCCUAAAUACAUUCAGUAGAGUAAGUGUUACAAUUGAGUAAAACCCUAGAGAGUUAAAACAAGACUUGUUCAAAAGUAAACAUCUAGCAUUCAAGUCUAUAUAAACAAACCAUGUAAGAGUAACCACGAGAUUCGCGGAUCUUUUUCAAAUCCUCAUCGGUUUCAUAGUUAUCAGCAUCAAGUCUCCAGCUAAGUACUCCCAGCUCUGCACACAAACAUUACAUCUGAAACAAAUAGAGAAACAGAGAGAAGAACACUGAAUUGAAACACACAAAGAGACCUGCAAGUUUGUCCAAAGAUAGAAACUCCUUAGGAUCCUUGUGGUGAGGAAGUCUCUGAUCCUCUUCGCUAUCAUCCAUAUACCAUGCCUGGAUCACUUCUUCUCUUCCAUCCUAAGCAAAAACACACAUACACAAACACAACAAGAAAACAUAAAUUUAUGAUGCUAAGCUUGAAAGAGAAACAAAAAACGUUCAGCAAUUAGUGAAAUUUUCGAUUGCAACCUCCAAGACAAAGCCUGAAUUUCAUACACAACAAGUGAAACUAGAAAACAUCAAAUUUGAUGAUUAAAAUAAAACAAAAAUCAAAAUUGGAAUAGUGAUCAGUGAUUGAAGACCACUUAAUUAACAAUCGGCGGCGAUUCAUGUUUUCAUAGCUGAAACAAGAAAUUUUCCGAUGAGCUUUCACGAAAUCAGAAUCAGAAGCAAGAGAUUUACGAUUACCUUAACCACUUCACCCAUGGUUGUUUGUUCCUCUUCUUCUUCGUCUUCUUCGUUAGGCUUUUUAUGAUUCCUCUUCGUCUUCAAAUCCACGCGAUAUAUGCCUUCUCUCCUUUUCAAAAGAAGUCAUUUUCGUUUUAUCUUUUGGGACAAAAACAGAGAAAAAGGUUAAAAGACUAAACUACCCUCCAUCCGCCGGCGUGCGGCGAGGGAAAUGCCGCCUCCACAUAUAUCCGUUUCAGACUAUUUAUCACAUUUUUGAGGUUUGAGAAAAUGUAAAUACGUUAGUUAGAGUGGUAAUUAUUGUAAAAAAGUUAACAAAGUUAAAAGUUAAAAACUGGGUUAAAAAUGGACAAAAGAAGAGAAGUUUGGUGGUGUCAAAGUAAGACUCGAGUCGAGAGUAAGAAACACUUUGGCUAAAAGGUCUCUCUCGUUAAAAGUGUCAAGUAAGACAUCAUUUACACAUUACAACACCUAGAAAAUGAAAGCCCUUCUUUCACCUCUCUUGUCUCUACUCUCUGUGACUAUAUCCUCACAAAAAGAAUCAGAAACAAGAAAUUACCACUAACCUACUAAGCUCUACUCAAAACUAUAGACCAAAAAUUAUGGGUGCAAAACCCCGGAAACACAAAAGAAGGCCGAUCCGAAGAGAGGUUUCUUUUCUUCAUAUCUUUGAGCUUACAAGCAAGCAACUGUUUCAACGCCUAUUCACAGCUUAUAGCAUCUCCACGUUUCGGUAUCUUGUUAAAUGCCUGGAGACCAAGCGAGGAGAGUUAUGAGGGAAAUCAUCCAAACCACUGAUUUAACAAAGCUUUAUAUAUGAUUCUCUUCUUACCUUCACUGUUUAGAUCAACUGAAAGAUUGGGACUUUUUGUCUGGCUUUCAGGUGACUGGCUAUGCAGUGGAGAUCCGGUGCAGCCUAGGUUUUGCGAAUAUGCAGCUUUCAUCCGUGGCUGACAAUUCAGAAACAUCUCCAAGCUAGAGGACGCAACUCCUGGACACUUUUUGGCCUUUGAGAAUUUUCUGCACAUUACGAAAACAUAUCAGUUUAUAGCGAUUUUGGAAUAAGCGUAAGUAUAUAAAUGCACCUGUCUUUCCGCUUUUCACGAUAUCUUUGCAAAGAUACCUUUCUGUUCGCCUGGCCCUCCAUACCUUAAGAACGACCCAAAAAACAUAGAACGACGGUUAGAUUAAUAAACUUCACAGGUCAUAUAACAUGCAGAACAACAAGCAAGCCAAGUUUCCUCCAAGUUAACAACAUUAGCAUAGCUUUGCACAGGUGAAGAUGUGUUGAUCAAGUUUCGCUCCGAGAAUCAUUAAGGUAAUAUGAAUACUGUUCAUACCAGAAUCACGAGAAGAAUUCGCCUUCUCAAGGCCUUUUUGGGGAAGUUCCAUCAUCUUCUCUGCAAUAAGAUUUCACAUUUUCAAUUUGAUUUUUGACUAAUUCAAACUAGACUCUGAAGAAGGAAAGUGGAAUCACUAUCACAAAAACAUGCAAGAGGCAUUUGGAUAUUUUACGCAAGGUAGUAUAGCACAAUGCAACAUUUAGACAUACUUCCUUGGUCAACUACCCAUGCCUCCUUUCAAAGUUGGACAAAACAAAAGCAGUGUUUGCAAGAAGAGAAAAUAAAUAAAAAAGCUCUACUGCGUCAGAAAAGCUGGUCCAUGAACUUUUUCCAGUUUGAUGAUACACAAAACAAAAUCAUUUCAUGUUUGAAUCAUCUAUCUAUCAACUGAAAAACAGAUCAGACACUUUAGCAAAAGCUUACCUUUACUUAUGAGCUUUGAAAUCAUUCUACUGGAAGCAAAAAUACCGUUUUCAGGCAAAUCAAUUGGAUUGGCUGCAAAGUGCAUGAUUGACCGGGCCUGCAAACCAAUACAAAGGAUGAAUGAUCAAAAACAUGCCAACAAAAUUUCUAUUUUCAGACUGGACAGAAUAAUGUUAUUGAUUUACCUUUUCAGGUGGUAUUCCAUCAUACACAUUCACUUUUCCACUAUAGAAUAUCGUCAUUUGCCCAACGAGCUCACUUGUUUCAGCUGGGCUUCUGAUGCAAGAUUACAGACAAGAAUGUUUAAUAUGCUUGUAGAACAACAGGCACAUGCAGCAAAACCUUUUCUUAAGCUUUCGUAGAUGGACUAGGGAAAAAACCCUCUAACUUACAAAAUAUCAUUAAGGAAUUCAAGUAACUAAUUAUUAUUUCAAGUCACAUCAGUCAUAUUGACUAUUAUUUUCCAUUUCUAAAGAGAUCCAGGAUACUAAGACAUAACGAAGAUGAUCUUCGAUCACACGAUCGUGGCCAACCUAAAUACUAUCUGACAAAUCCACCAUCAAUGCCUUGAACCAUAUAUAGAUUCUGUCUCUAAGGAUGUGAUAUUGAACCAAAAACUUCCUAAUAUCACAAACUUAAUAAUGCAAUGCAUUACACUUUUCUUGAAUUAAACAACAUUCCAGUUCCAGAUGCAUAGAAGCAGAAAGGUAUCAAAAAAAAUUCAAAUACGAAAAUGUAAACCUGGGAGAAAUAGUCGUCUUGUGGCCAUCUUUCUCGGAUACAAAGUGACCAGACCCACCGGAAAACUCAGCUGAUCUUGGAGAAUCCAUUCUAUGGCACGCGCCGUUAUCUUCCGGAUAAGAAACCCGGCCACAAGCUUCCAGCUCGUUGCUUGGCUCAAUCAACGUUGUUGUGACCUGUAGAUAUCAGAACAAACAAGGCAACUUAGAUUUUCACUUUUUUCAAUCUGUGAGUUUAAACGAGAAAUAGAAGCAAAAUCGAAGUAAAUAUCUCACGCGAGGCGGAUUUACUGGCUGAGAAACGAGGAUCUUGCGGAAGAUACCGGCGCCGGAAUCGUCUCCAGGCUCAUAGAGAGCUUUAAGAGAUAAAACUUGCUGGAUCGCCUGAGAUUUGUUCCACGACGGUCUUCGCAUUCCUAUUUCGACAUGUGUCAGCCUCCAUUCUCAGAAUAAACAAGCAAAAAAAAGCUCCGACAGAGUAGAGAAUUUCAAAAUUUGACUUCCGCUGCAAAUCGGAGAAGGAAACAAGACUAUGGAGAAAGGUAGAAGAAGAAGAAACCUUUGUCUUUGAGGAAUUUGCGGCAGUCUUCGCGAGUGAGCUGAGAAAUGUCCUCUUCAGUGAGUAGCUUCAGAGGUUUCGCAAGUAUAGACUUCGCCGGUGAAACUCCGACAUCCAUCUCCUCCUCUUCACCGGAAUCCCGGCGAGAGAGCAGUGGCGUUUCAGUAAUAAUCGGAGGUUUUGGGGGUAAAAUUAGGAAGAAUGAGAGAGAGCGGAACAGUGGCGAGAGAGAGUGAGGUCGAAUAGUUUUUCCUAUGGGGGAGUCAAUUUGGGGGAAUUGUUCCCGGAGCAGGGAAACUCCCUAGACUGCCACGUAAGCUCCACGUCUACAUAAAUUAUUAUAAGCCUAAUCAUGGCUGCUAAACUUGCUAAGUUUACUUUUAUAUCCCCUUUUUCUUCCAUUCAACUACUGUUUAUUGUAAUCCAUUAAGAUAGGAGAAUAAAAUGAUUACUCCAAUUCUAUAGACUAUAGAGUUAAUGUAGGUCGGAUUUAAGGAGAUUCCAAACUCUAAAAGGAAAUUACAAAAGAAAGCCACAAAUGUAAACGAAAACGAAAAUCUUAUGUCCAACCACAAAUACACAAAACCACACUUUUCUUCCUUAGAACCGUGAACAUGUUCGAUAACAACAACCACCAAACGAACCAUCCUUAAAACCGUCAGCAUGUUAAGAUACACAACAACAACCAAACGAACCAUGGUUUAGAUUAAACCAAAGAAGUUGACGCGGUUGGACGUAUUACUUCUUAUUAGUUUCUUCUAAUUUGUUGGUUUUUGAAAAGCAAAUAAAAAAGAAUAGAGAUUUGUGUAAAAACUCAACAUAUUGCACAUAGGAACGAACGUAAGACAAUAUGAAUCCCAAUGUAAUCUUUUCGUAUAUGGGAUACGACAAAGAUGGUAAAGAGAGACAUAUCAGAGAGUGUAACUAAGUUUACAACAACUCAAGCAUACCAAAAGCCAUCAUUCUACACAGGAAUACAUAUAAAUAUCCAAUACUUGACAGGAAAGCUUUCUUUAUUGUAGGCCUUGUUUAUAGAUCCUUGUUUCAGAAAGCCAGAUAUAGAGAGAGGAAGCUCUCUAAGCCGAGGCAUUGAUCAUGAAGUUAUCGACAUAUUCUUUCCUGUAAAAUAUCAGAAUUUAUUUCUCGUAAAAUAACAGAAUUUCUUGCUUGAUUAUAUAUCCCAUUGUUUGCAUAAGAGAACAAACAAAAGGGGAAAACCCAGGACAUUGUACCUUGCAGGAAGAUGGUCGUGUGGGCGAUUGUAUGGUGUCCAUACCGGUUCACCCACGAAUAGCCGCAUUGCCUGUUCAACAAGAUAUUUCAAUUUUCUAAGCAAGCCCAAACUAUAAAAUAAAUGGCUAGAAGAAAAGCUGACAUUGCACCUUGAUAUAGUUGUCAGAGUCCACAGUGAAGCGAUGAUAGAUCCCAGCAGGUAAGACUAUCAUACCUCCCUUCUUUACCAAUACCCUAAUCCAAGCUUCAUUACGAUCUCUCACAUCAAAGUAACCUUUUUCCCAAGAAAAUAAAACAUGACUACUAUAUCGAAAUUUUAAGUUUACGAGUAA
rnacentral:lncRNA from 1 species